AGAGUUGAUCCUGGCUUAGGAUGAACGCUGGCGGCGUGCCUAACACAUGCAAGUCGAGCGAUUACUUCGGUAAAGAGCGGCGGACGGGUGAGUAACGCGUGGGUAACCUGCCUCAUACACAUGGAUAACAUACCGAAAGGUAUGCUAAUACAGGAUAAUAUAAGAGAUUCACAUGGAUUUCUUAUCAAAGCUCCGGCGGUAUGAGAUGGACCCGCGUCUGAUUAGCUAGUUGGUAAGGUAAUGGCUUACCAAGGCGACGAUCAGUAGCCGACCUGAGAGGGUGAUCGGCCACAUUGGAACUGAGACACGGUCCAAACUCCUACGGGAGGCAGCAGUGGGGAAUAUUGCACAAUGGGCGAAAGCCUGAUGCAGCAACGCCGCGUGAGUGGUGAAGGCCUUCGGGUCGUAAAACUCUGUCCUCAAGGAAGAUAAUGACGGUACUUGAGGAGGAAGCCCCGGCUAACUACGUGCCAGCCGCAGC
rnacentral:rRNA from 1 species